CAGGGAUUGCCUUAGUAACGGCGAGUGAAGCGGCAAUAGCUCAAAUUUGAAAUCUGGCGCUUGCGUCCGAGUUGUAAUUUGUAGAGGAUGAUUUUGGUUAGGUACCUUUCGAGUUCCUUGGAACAGGACGCCUUAGAGGGUGAGAGCCCCGUACGAUUGGAUGCCGAGCCUCUGUAAAUCUCCUUCGACGAGUCGAGUAGUUUGGGAAUGCUGCUCUAAAUGGGAGGUAAAUUUCUUCUAAAGCUAAAUACCGGCCAGAGACCGAUAGCGCACAAGUAGAGUGAUCGAAAGAUGAAAAGCACUUUGAAAAGAGGGUUAAAUAGCACGUGAAAUUGUUGAAAGGGAAGGAUUUAUGACCAGACUUUUUCUAGGAGGAUCAUCCGGUGUUCUCACCGGUGCACUUCUUCUAGUUUAGGCCAGCAUCGACUUCUGGCGGCGGAUAAAAGCUUCAGGAAUGUGGCUCCCUACGGGGAGUGUUAUAGCCUGUUGUAUAAUACGCUGCUGGGGGUCGAGGUACGCGCUUCUGCAAGGAUGCUGGCGUAAUGGUUAUCAAUCACCCGUCUUGAAACACGGACCAAGGAGUCGAACAUUUAUGCGAGUGUUUGGGUGUUAAACCCUCACGCGUAAUGAAAGUGAACGGAGGUGAGAGCCCUUACGGGUGCAUCAUCGACCGAUCCUGAAGUUUUCGGAUGGAUUUGAGUAAGAGCAUAACUGUUCGGACCCGAAAGAUGGUGAACUAUGCGUGGAUAGGGUGAAGCCAGAGGAAACUCUGGUGGAGGCUCGCAGCGGUUCUGACGUGCAAAUCGAUCGUCAAAUCUGCGCAUGGGG
rnacentral:rRNA from 1 species